GGCGCGCGCCCGCGUCCGCGCACUGAGAGUCGCCUCGGCCGCUCGCUUUCUCGACUCCCGCCUCGCGCCUCGAUCCUGUUCCGCCUCCCUCGGCCCUCCUGCCCGCCCCCACUCGUCGGCCCUCAGGUUCCUGGAAAGUGAAAAUUUCAUUUCUUUGUGGACAGGUACCUAAAAUGUCUCAUUAUUCAUCAAUUAAUGAAAAACAAAUGAAAAUUUGAGAGAGAUAUUCUGAAGAAUAAAAGGAUCAAGUUGGGUCAUUUCUAAAAUCUCAGAGACCUAAUAGGAUGGGGUCUUAGAGAAACAUCUUUUGAGCCACAGACUUCUUUGUUACCAGAAGGAAAAUGAAAGAAGAAAUUUAAAUACCACUUGAAGAGAGGUGCUGCCCAGUUCAUGAGUGCUGCUGCUGUCCUGCCCAAGUACCCAGCUUGCAGAGUGCCAGAGUUAGAGUCCCAGGGGUGUUCUCCACAGCUGCAUGCUUGAUCCAGGCCUAUCAGAUAUAUUCCAUUGAAAGUCCUCAUUCUCAAAUUUAAAACAAAGACUUUUUGUGUACCUCAAUAGCAAUGCACACACAGUUGGCUUCACAAACAUAUUGUACAUUUCUUUUUUUCAUAUUUAUUCAACAAAUGUAUAUUGACUACCCACCGUGUGACAGGUGUUAUUUGUUGACGGAACCAGGCAUCAUCAGCAAACAAAACUGACAAAGCUUCCUGCCCUCUGUGGAAGGCAUCUGAGGAAGAGACUGGAUUUUGUAGCAACAUGUUAUUCUCAUUAUAAACUUUAUCAUUGGAAUACUAAAGCCAAAUCAUCCCCCAUCUCCUUGAUCAGGAUACCCACUUAAUCUAGGCAGCUACACAAUUGUGAGAGCCUUUGUUUUUUUCUGCUGAAACAUCCUUAAAAAGAUACCUCACAACCCAAGAUUUGGCUUUUCUUAAAUACGAUUUUUAAUUUUUUUCAUUUCUAUCUAGAGAUUUAAUUGGAAAUGGAAAAUCAUCAAUUUUCCAAUUAAAUGUCUGUUCCAAUCAACAUUAUACCUUUUAGGUUGUCAUUGUCAUUUUUAAGUUUAAGCAACUUUAAGGAUUUUGAAUCUGGCUGCCUGUAAAUUAAAGGUGAAAGUAAUCAUUGUGUUGGAUUGGAACAUUUUGUCAAUUGAGAGUGGUUUCCUUGUUCUUAGUGUAUGAAAAGUUUAUUUUUCUAAUGUAGAUUAAUAAAGGAGAUAAAGAAAAACAAAA
rnacentral:lncRNA from 1 species